CCGCACAGCGGUGGAGCAUGUGGUUAAUCGACGCAACGCGAAGAACCUUACCUGGGCUUGACAUCCGCGGAACCUCUAUGAAAGUAGGGGUGCCCCUCGGGGAGCCGCGAGACAGGUGCUGCAUGGCUGUCGUCAGCUCGUGUCGUGAGAUGUUGGGUUAAGUCCCGCAACGAGCGCAACCCUUGUCUUUAAUUGCCAUCAUUGAGUUGGGCACUUUAAAGAGACUGCCGGUGUUAAGCCGGAGGAAGGUGGGAUGACGUCAAGUCCUCAUGGCCUUUAUGUCCAGGGCUACACACGUGCUACAAUGGGUGGUACAAAGAGCAGCAAACUCGCGAGAGUAAGCGAAUCUCAAAAAGCCAUCCUCAGUUCGGAUUGGAGUCUGCAACUCGACUCCAUGAAGUUGGAAUCGCUAGUAAUCGCGGAUCAGCAUGCCGCGGUCGAAUACGUUCCCGGGCCUU
rnacentral:rRNA from 1 species